AUGACUGGUGUCCUUACACAAAGAAGAAAUUGGGGCAGAAAGACACAUUCAGAGGGAGGACAAUGUGAAGACACAGGGAGAAGAUGGUCAUCUACAAGCCAGGGAGGGAGCCUGGAACAGACCUUUCAUUCACAGCCCUCGGAAGACACCAGCCCUGCCCACACCUGGACCUCUAACUUCAAGCUUGGAGAACUGCUGGAGUGCAAUGGUGUGAUCUUGGCUCACUGCCACCUCCGCCUCCCAGGUUCAAGCGAUUCUCCCGCCUGAGCUCCCGAGUAGCUGGGAUUACAGGUCAUUCAGUUUCUUCAAAGAAAAGCUGUCUCGUUUUCAGCCUGCCAGGGGCAGGGAAGAUACAGAAGUUCCAACACCAAACACCAUGCUGUUGAUAUUCUGUGAUCAGAGCAGACAAGGGAUCUGAGGGACCCACAUGAGUGUGUGGACUUGUUUUCUUUAUCAACCCUGCCCAUCACCCCUCAUUCUCACUGUUCCUGAAUCAGGAAAUUUUUCCAUAAUAAACUUCCAGUGACCACAGCGAGUUAGUGUCGGUCUCAGCAAUGACCCUGAGAAUCCAUUCUGAGUACGCGGCUUGUCUAGGCCUGAUCAUUCCUUCCACUAUACCGGGACGCUCUAAGUGCAGAGCCCCUCAGUGUUUUGACAGAUAAUUUCUGAUGUGCUUUUCUCAGGCGUCGCUCCUGCCAGCACUGAGACGGAAACUUCCUCCACUCUGUUUACAUCCUCCUUCCGCUUCAUGUUUCCCAAAAUCGGGUUAUCAUCUCUCAUCUUUUUGUCUCUUUUUGUUUUUUCUUUGAGAGUUAAAAUCAUUUUUUAAAUGCUCUACUGCCUUUGUGGAGGAAAAUAUUUUUUAGUCCUUUACCUUCUACAAAUAUUUUAAUACUAUAAUUUUAGUAAUUUUUUGGAAAGGAGGGUAAUAAAAUAACCAUACUUAGGUUAUCUGCCACUUUACCAAAGGGCAGUAACUGUAGCAAGAUACAAUUUAUAUAUCAUAAAACUCAUCAUUUUAAGCUGCAAAAUUUAGAGCAUUUUUAGUAUAUUCACAAGGGUGUGGAGCCAUUACCACCGUCUAAUUUUGUAACAUGUUCAUCACUCUGAAAAGAAACACCAGGGCAGGUGUGGUGGCUCACGCCUGUAAUCCCAGCACUUUGGGAGGCCACAGUGGGUGGAUCACUUGAGGUCAGGAGUUUGAGACCAGCCUGGCCAACAUGGUGAAACCCCGUCUCUACUAAAAAUACAAAAAUUAGCUGGACAUCGUGGCACACGCCUGUAAUUCUAGCUACUCAGAAGGCUGAGGCAGGAGAAUCGCUUGAACCCAGGAGGCAGAGGUUGCAGUGAGCUGAGAUUGCGCCACUGCGCUCCAGCCUGGGCAACAGAGCAAGAUUCCAUCUCCAAAAAGGAAAAGAAAAGAAAAGAAACCCCAAACUCAUUAGCAGUCACAAUACUAUUUUAUAUUAGCAAAGAGAGAAAGUCAACCAUAAAAAGGGUUAGAAGAAAUAGAAAACAUUUUGUCAGGGAGAUAAUUGAAAAUUAAUAUAGAUGAGUAAAUUAUUCGCAAAAGAGCAUUUCCUUAAGAAAGGAGAUGUGCAUGUCACUGGUAAGAUAGGAACAUCUCCCAUAUUGCACCUAAAAACUUAAAUAUACGUAAAGUCUUCUCCAUAAUUAGACAAUUAUUGUUUACUUAACAAAAUUACAUAGCAAAUAUGUGUUGUAAAAGUUCAUUUUUUUCAAGCAGAAAGAUAGAAGAUAGACCAGAGAGUUUCAGAUUCACAACAAUGCUAUUUUUCCUGAUAAAUAUGAAAAACAAAUGUUUGGUUUUAGAGAUAAUUAUAAGACCAGCUGGGCAUGGUGGCUUGAGCCUAUAAUCCCAGCACUUUGGGAGGCCAAGGCGGGAGCUCACUUGAGCUCAGUUCAAGACCAACCUGGG
ensembl:lncRNA